rnacentral:rRNA from 1 species
GGACAACAGUUGGAAACGACUGCUAAUACCCCAUAUGCCGCGAGGUGAAAUGAAUUUCGCCUGAGGAUGAGCUCGCGUCUGAUUAGCUAGUUGGUGUAGGUAAUGGCUCACCAAGGCAUCGAUCAGUAGCUGGUCUGAGAGGAUGAUCAGCCACACUGGGACUGAGACACGGCCCAGACUCCUACGGGAGGCAGCAGUGGGGAAUUUUCCGCAAUGGGCGAAAGCCUGACGGAGCAACGCCGCGUGAGGGAUGAAGGCCUCUGGGCUGUAAACCUCUUUUAUCAAGGAAGAAGAUCUGACGGUACUUGAUGAAUAAGCCACGGCUAAUUCCGUG